GCGCUGGUGCUGGAAUUGGUAGACAGGCAUGGUUGAGGGCCAUGUGCCGCGAGGCGUGUGGGUUCAACUCCCACCCAGCGCACCA
rnacentral:tRNA from 1 species